rnacentral:rRNA from 1 species
GGAUUAGGAUGGGAACACUGGAACGGUUGCUAAAACCGGAUGUGCCGAGAGGUGAAAUAUUUUAUAGCCUGUAGAUGUGCUCGCGUCUGAUUAGCUAGUUGGUGGGGUAAAGGCCUACCAAGGCGACGAUCAGUAGCUGGUCUGAGAGGAUGAUCAGCCACACUGGGACUGAGACACGGCCCAGACUCCUACGGGAGGCAGCAGUGGGGAAUUUUCCGCAAUGGGCGCAAGCCUGACGGAGCAAUACCGCGUGAGGGAGGAAGGCUCUUGGGUCGUAAACCUCUUUUCUCUGGGAAGAAUAACUGACGGUACCAGAGGAAUCAGCAUCGGCUAACUCCGUGCCAGCAGCCGCGGUAAUACGGGGGAUGCAAGCGUUAUCCGGAAUUAUUGGGCGUAAAGCGUCCGCAGGUGGCUAAUCAAGUCUGUUGUCAAAGCGCGGAGCUCAACUCCGUACAGGCGAUGGAAACUGGUUGGCUAGAGUUAGGUAGGGGUAAGAGGAAUUCCCAGUGUAGCGGUGAAAUGCGUAGAUAUUGGGAAGAACACCGGCGGCGAAAGCGUCUUACUGGGCCUAAACUGACACUGAGGGACGAAAGCUAGGGGAGCGAAAGGGAUUAGAUACCCUUGUCGUCAAGGACGUUG